UCACUCUGUACUCUAUUCACUCCCAUUGC
rnacentral:piRNA from 1 species